CGCAUGUUGAUCUUUAUUUGCCUCCUCUUUCAACACAUGAACCUCAACCCGUUCUCUCUCACACACGUGUUUGCACCUAUGGCAAUAAAGGAAAAGAAGAAGAGCAAAAAUCAGCUCAAAUCAUUAUGUAACAAAGAACCCAACACUCCAAAGCUAUGGCCUGAUCUUCCACGGCAACUUAUUUACCUAAUAGAAAGGCAGC
rnacentral:misc_RNA from 1 species